UCUUGCCUGCCCAGUGACUGUAAGUUAAACGGCCGCGGUAUUUUGACCGUGCAAAGGUAGCGCAAUCACUUGUCUUUUAAAUGAAGACCUGUAUGAAUGGUGGAACGAGGGCUUAACUGUCUCCCUCAUCUAGUCAAUGAAAUUGAUCUACCCGUGCAGAAGCGGGUAUAAAAAUACAAGACGAGAAGACCCUUUGGAGCUUAAGACAAAAGACCAACUAUGUCAAAAAUACUAAAAAUGAAAAUAAACCAAAUAAUACUGGUCCCAGUCUUCGGUUGGGGCGACCGCGGGAGAAAAUAAAGCUCCCAUGUGGACAGGGGAAAACCCCUAAAACUAAGAGAGACAUCUCUAAGACACAGAACAUCUGACCAUAAAGACCCAGCUAUAUGCUGACCAACGGACCAAGUUACCCUAGGGAUAACAGCGCAAUCCUCUUCCAGAGUCCAUAUCGACAAGAGGGUUUACGACCUCGAUGUUGGAUCAGGACAUCCUAAUGGUGCAGCCG
rnacentral:rRNA from 1 species